rnacentral:snRNA from 1 species
GUAGUAGUGCAGUGGCAGUAUCAUAGCCAAUGAUGUUAAUCUGAGGCAUGAUUACUGCUAGUUGAAAUCUCUUAUUGAACCCA